rnacentral:snRNA from 1 species
GUGUUCACUCCAGCAGCACCUAUGGUAAAACUGGCACGAUUACACUGGAGAUUAGCGGGCCCUGCAUGAGGAUGACCGGCAUCUUCAGGAAGUGCUCCACUUCCUG